UACGGGGGGGGGCAAGCGUUGUUCGGAAUUACUGGGCGUAAAGGGCUCGUAGGCGGCCAACUAAGUCGGACGUGAAAUCCCCAGGCUCAACCUGGGAACUGCGUCUGAUACUGGAUGGCUUGAAUCCGGGAGAGGGAUGCAGAAUUCCAGGUGUAGCGGUGAAAUGCGUAGAUAUCUGGAGGAACACCGGUGGCGAAGGCGGCGAUCUGGGUAGAUACUGACGCUGAGGUGCGAAAGCGUGGGGAGCAAACAGGG
rnacentral:rRNA from 1 species